rfam:Rachicladosporium sp. CCFEE 5018 scaffold_2085, whole genome shotgun sequence.
GAGUUAGUAACUUAAUUGGUAAAGGACUUUCUUGUCGAGAAAGUAGAUAUCGGAUCGUAGCCGAUUUAACUCG